rnacentral:rRNA from 1 species
GCCUACGGGGGGCAGCAGUGGGGAAUAUUGCGCAAUGGGCGAAAGCCUGACGCAGCAACGCCGCGUGAGGGAUGACGGCCUUCGGGUUGUAAACCUCUUUCAGCAGGGAAGAAGCGAAAGUGACGGUACCUGCAGAAGAAGCACCGGCUAACUACGUGCCAGCAUCCGCGGCAAUACGUAGGGUGCAAGCGUUGUCCGGAUUUAUUGGGCGUAAAGAGCUCGUAGGCGGUGAGUCACGUCGGAUGUGAAAACCCGGAGCUGAACCCCGGGCCUGCAGUCGAUACGGGCUGACUAGAGUGUUGUAGGGGAGGCUGGAACUCCUGGUGUAGCGGUGAAAUGCGCAGAUAUCAGGAAGAACACCGGUGGCGAAGGCGGGUCUCUGGGCAACUACUGACGCUGAGGAGCGAAAGCGUGGGGAGCAAACAGGAUUAGAUACCCCUGUAGUCUA